CAACGGAUAUUGGGCAAUGAGCGAAAGCUUGACCCAGCAAUGCCGCGUGCAGGAGGAAGCCCUUCGGGGUGUAAACUGCUGUCAGGGUUUAGGAAGUUCUGACCAAACCCAAAGGAAGGGCCGGCUAACUUCGUGCCAGCAGCCGCGGUAAUACGAAGGGCCCAAGCGUUAAUCGGAAUCACUGGGCUUAAAGGGUGCGCAGGCGGAAUGGUCAGUGUCUUGUGAAAUCCCACGGCUCAACCGUGGAACUGCAGGGCAUACUGCCAUUCUUGAGGCCGGUAGAGGCCGCCGGAACUCUAGGUGUAGCGGUGAAAUGCGUAGAUAUCUAGAGGAACGCCAAAGACGAAGGUAGGCGGCUGGGCCGGUUCUGACGCUCAGGCACGAAAGCGUGGGGAGCAAACA
rnacentral:rRNA from 1 species